rnacentral:rRNA from 1 species
UACAGAGGUGGCAAGCGUUGUUCGGAAUUACUGGGCGUAAAGGGCGCGUAGGCGGUUCGUUAAGUCCUGUGUGAAAUCCCCCGGCUCAACUGGGGAACUGCACAGGAAACUAGCGGGCUUGAGUUCGGGAGAGGGAAGCGGAAUUCCGGGUGUAGCGGUGAAAUGCGUAGAUAUUCGGAAGAACACCAGUGGCGAAGGCGACUUACUGGACGAUUGUUGACGCUGAGGUGCGAAAGCGUGGGGGAGCAAACAGG